GCCAACUACCCACAGUCACCAACAUAACACAUGUUAGCGUGCAAGAAACAGUGUUCACAGUUACUGAAUUAGUACGUGGGGACAGCCGUGCAAUUACGUUGUAGUCUAGCGACUGACGUAAAGAAAGAAACAAUUGCUAGGGCGGCACUUUGGCAUGUACUGGCACUCAGUGUGUACCAUGCAGCUUGGUUGGACUCCAAACAGUGGACAAUGAAAUCUGCACUUGGCACCUGAUGAAAGCAGCUAGAGAAUCCAAGUUGUCAAAAUAUCACGCAAACAGAGAAGCAACUUGACCACAAACACAAGAUUUGUGAAGUAGUAAUGACGUGGUUGACAAGUACUAUUUAAAAAAAUUUCCUAUCAAUUUACGCUUAUGAUACUGAGUGUAUAAUUUUAGUGCUGAUACAUUACUGUAGACAACAAAAUUCACCUGAAUAUUAUGCAUAAAUAUUUGGAUAGACCAUAAUUUCAACAAAAGAUUUUUUUAGCCUUGUACAACAAAGAUACCCGAGAUGUUGCCCGGAGCAAAAUGACGUGAAAACUAGAAUAUUAUGGAUAUGGAGCAGAACGUAACAAUUCUAUUCCAAAGUAGACAGUAAUUUGGAUAGCUGUUUCACACUUGUUUGGCCGCUACUUACAGCGCCAAAAACAGAUUUCUAGCCCUAGUAAAUGGUUCAAAAUAACGCAUGGGUUUCUGGAGUUCAACAUUUAAAUGAAGAUGAUCUGUUAAAAUUUACUGUCGAGGACAUUACAAACAUUUUGUUUAUACUUACAUCUUUAUUUCCAUUAGUGAAGAGCCACAACAAAAAAUAAUUUUAAUUUUUCACUUCUGGGAUAUCAGCUCUAUAAAAUACUCAAUUGUGGUAAAAGUCAACAUCAGUGAACACUAAUUUCAUAUAUCUCCUACAAUGAGCUUAAUAACUUUCCUUAAUCAUGAAGAAUGUGCAGGAUACAUUUUUAUUGGAAAAUUAAGUAAAGUUUCUGAUAUGUAAUACUCUGCAACCGAUAAGUCUAUUUUGUUGUCUAUGACGUCAACAAUUUAAUUUUGUUUCCAGUUCCUAUUUUAAACUUAAGACUGCUUAUGUGGAUGAUGAGUCUUCUGGAACAUGAAUGUGAUUGGGGUUUCUUCAUGUAAUUACAACUUACACUUCUUACAAUACUGCUGACUGAUGAUUCAUAUGAAAAUUCUUUGUUAUCAAAACUCAUCCAAUCGAAUCAAAGUGUUAAAAGAUUGUUGACUCAAUAUAGAGCGAGAUUAAUACUUUUUCUUCAGCAAAAUGUCAAUAAGUGCAGCUUUUAACCUAAAAUAUUUAAGCUAAAGCAAUAUAUGUAAACAUAACACUCAAACACAUUGCUCUUUGUUCUCCUUUAUUAAGUUUCCAGCAUUUGUGGAAAGUAUGGUAAGCUUUUGGUUGUUACUUCAUGUUACGUCCCACAGAUGGCAUACUGGCAGUAUCGGUAUAUUUUUUGGAACAGCUUUCACGUGAUAAGACAUAUGACACAUUAGAGUUACCCUAAAUAUUAAACAGUAACAAUUUAAAUAAUAAUUACAGAAAAUUCAAUAUGUUCACUGUUUGAGAAAGCUGUCUGCCACUGUUUGAGAAAGCUGUCUGCAGGUAUUACACACAGAUUUCUUUUGAUUCCAUGGAGAGGGAAGAUUCUAAAUGAAUACUACGAAUUAUAUGAAGUAAACAAUAUGUGGUGACACUCAAAAUUACACUGUAUAGCCCUGGAACUUAAAGCACAUAGAAGAAGAAAGAGUUACCAAUCGGUUAUUUCUCAUUUUUAGAUAUGUAAUGAUGCUCCCCCACAAAAAACUGUCCUCCUUCCAAAGUUAAAUGUUACACUGCCUUCGGGUGUACAUAAAGUCAGGGAACAGUUUCAAUUAUUUAUUGCAGAAGAACUAAACACUGUACAGAUGUCAUACAUAUUACAUUUUGAAGAAAAACUAAAGGUUUUCUUUUUUACAAACAUUCGAUUUGUGAACCACGAGUGACCCAGCAGUUGUCAUUACAGUAAUCGAAUUCUUGCUAUACCCGUUCCAGCAUGGCAUUGUCUUCUGUGGCAGCCACUUUCCGUAUCCUCUCCCGGAGCUCUUCUACAUCACUCAGUAGACGCGGUACAUUCACCAGAUCUUUAAUAUGUCCCCACAGGAAAGAGUCACACUGAGUGACAUCUAGUGAUCGGGGAGACCAUUUCAUGAAACUGCUGUCCCCUUCUGUAGCAUGGCACCUGCCAUGUUUGCAACUAACUUUGCCUAUUGGCAAAUUACCAAACUACGCUAUUGUGGUAUACAUGGGAGGGGGGGGGGGAUUUCAGGGUUUCUCUUCUAAAUGUCAUACGUAUGAUAUCUGUACAAUGUUUGGUGUUUGUGCAAUAAGUAAUUGAAAGUGUUCCCAGACUUUAUGUACACCCUGUCUCUCUCUGUCUCUCUCUCACACACACACACACAUUAGUGAUAAUUGACAAAUAGAUCUGACAGUCCUCACAUAACAUUACAAAGAGUGAAUCACAUAGAGAACUCAAAUUAGAAUAAUUACAGUACGCACAGAGCCACUCAAUCUUCCUUCCUGUGCUCCAUGUGUGAAACCAUAAAAAUUGGUAGAAUGGGAUGUAUCCUCUGCCAUGCACUUCACGGUGGUUAGAAAAAUAUGGAUGGAGAUGUAGAAUACUCCAACUGUUGAUAAGGUUUUGAACUUUUAUAUAAUAAGACCCCGUAUCACAGGCUUAAAAUGAGGAAAAAAAUUCAUAAUACUGAUGUGUCAUCUUUCCAUUUCAAUCAUACAAAUCUAAAAUUCUUAUUUAUUCAGUGAUUCCAUAGGAUCUUACACCUUUAUUACUGUAUUUUAUAAAUUUAAAAAAUAUGGACAGAUCUAACAGAAUAAAGCCAAAGAAAGUGACACUUCACUAAUACUGCAAUGUAUGUUACAAACUCAUUCAAACAAGGAAUGUUUAUUUCAAAAGAAGCCACCAAAAAUUCACAAAUUUAUUUUUAAUAAUUUAACACAAUGGCAGUAUCUAAAACCUAUUGUGAAAAAAAAUCAGUAAUACUAUAAACACAACCCUAAACUGAAUAAGUAACAUAGGAAAUACCGAAGUAUAUAGUCCUGCAGAAAAUGCAAGAAAUACAUGGCAGACUUCAACCAUUUUGAUGAAGUUACAGAUACAUUCACAUAAGAGAAUGAGUAUGCACAAAGUAAAUGAGUCAACACUCCAUCAGCCUAUCCUCCUUAUUUGUAUAAUUCAGCAUACAAUAUUUACAGCAAAAUUGCUAAUCAGUCAUGAAUUAAAAAAUAAAGUGCUAUUAUUUAAAUAAUUUAUGUGUCAAUUACUCUGACACUUUACGUUCAAAAAUGACAUUUUCCCCAACUUGCUGCUUACAUGCUACAGAUCUGGUUACAAUGGUCCUACAGUAUGAAGUGUUAAGAAAUUCCAUGUAUUGCCUAAAAAAUGCUGUACUGUGUUUGCACCCAGAAGAAA